rnacentral:rRNA from 1 species
CCUACGGGAGGCUGCAGUGAGGAAUAUUGGUCAAUGGACGAGAGUCUGAACCAGCCAAGUAGCGUGAAGGAUGACUGCCCUAUGGGUUGUAAACUUCUUUUAUAUGGGAAUAAAACGUUCCACGUGUGGGAUUUUGUAUGUACCAUAUGAAUAAGGAUCGGCUAACUCCGUGCCAGCAGCCGCGGUAAUACGGAGGAUCCGAGCGUUAUCCGGAUUUAUUGGGUUUAAAGGGAGCGUAGGUGGAUUGUUAAGUCAGUUGUGAAAGUUUGCGGCUCAACCGUAAAAUUGCAGUUGAAACUGGCAGUCUUGAUUACAGUAGAGGUGGGCGGAAUUCGUGGUGUAGCGGUGAAAUGCUUAGAUAUCACGAAGAACUCCGAUUGCGAAGGCAGUUCACUGGACUGCAACUGACACUGAGGCUCGAAAGUGUGGGUAUCAAACAGGAUUAGAUACCCGUGUAGUC